CCUGGCUUAGGACGAACGCUGGCGGCGUGCCUAAUACAUGCAAGUCGAACGGCUUUUCUAUGGAAGCUUGCUUCCACUGAGAAGAUAGUGGCGAACGGGUGAGUAACACGUGGGUAACCUGCCCAUAAGAGGGGGGAUAACAUCCGGAAACGGGUGCUAAUACCGCAUAGUUUUCUUGAUUGCAUGAUUGAGAAAGGAAAGACGGCCUUUGUGCUGUCGCUUAUGGAUGGACCCGCGGCGUAUUAGUUAGUUGGUGAGGUAACGGCUCACCAAGACGAUGAUACGUAGCCGACCUGAGAGGGUGAUCGGCCGCAUUGGGACUGAGACACGGCCCAAACUCCUACGGGAGGCAGCAGUAGGGAAUCUUCCGCAAUGGACGAAAGUCUGACGGAGCAACGCCGCGUGAGUGAAAGAAGGUUUUCGGAUCGUAAAACUCUGUUGUCAGAGAAGAACAAGUUGGAGAGUAACUGCUCCAGCCUUGACGGUAUCUGACCAGAAAGCCACGGCUAACUACGUGCCAGCCGCCGC
rnacentral:rRNA from 1 species